UGCUCUAAUAUUUGCUCUCAGAAUUGUAAAGAAAAAUGUCAACAUACCGAUGGAUCCUGUCGGUGUAAAAGUGGUUGGACAGGUUCCCCAAAUUGCAUUUCAGAAUGCCCUCAGAAUACGUAUGGUGAAAAUUGCAUUCAUCCCUGCAGUUCCUACUGUGCUAAUGAUACUUGUGAUAGAUUCAAUGGUAGUUGUACAGAAGGAUGUAAAGAACGAUAUUAUGGAGACAUAUGUGAUCAAAGUGAGGGUUCUUUUCGUCUAAAAGUGAACAGUAAAUCUGCAAAACCACCUAUCGUCGGCGGAGUUCUCGGUGCAAUUGCCUCUGUAACCAUACUUAUUGCAUUGACUAUUUCUUUAUUGCGAAAAGGAAUCUUCAGAUCCUGGAUAGAAAGGAGAAGACACUCACAAAUAUAUAUAAACAGCACAGAUACAUUGAAACAACCAGAUGAUGAAUCCCAUACCUAUCAAACGUUAAAUGACUUAAAUAAACCAGAAAACUACAUAAACUUUGAUUUACAUGUACCAGAAGAUACAGCUGCUUGUGCUUAUCAAGGAUUACGCAUAUCUAAAAAAGAAGGAAACUAUGUAAAUCUUGAACUAGACAAACUUGAAAAAUAAAGGUGUUAUUCAGUA